AGCAGCCGCGGUAAUUCCAGCUCCAAUAGCGUAUAUUAAAGUUGUUGCAGUUAAAAAGCUCGUAGUUGAAUUUCGGGAUCAAUGCGUCGGUCGUGCCUUCGGUACGUACUAGCGUCAUUGAUUCCUCCCUUCUGAAGAACCGUGAUGUCAUUAAUUUGGUGUUACGGGGAAUCAGGACUGUUACCUUGAAAAAUUAGAGUGUUUAAAGCAGGCCAACGCUUGAAUACAUUAGCAUGGAAUAAUGAAAUAGGACGUUCGAACCUAUUUUGUUGGUUUCUAGGAUCGACGUAAUGAUUAAUAGGGAUAGUUGGGGGCAUUAGUAUUCAAUUGUCAGAGGUGAAAUUCUUGGAUUUAUUGAAGACUAACUACUGCGAAAGCAUUUGCCAAGGAUGUUUUCAUUAAUCAAGAACGAAAGUUAGGGGAUCGAAGACGAUCAGAUACCGUCGUAGUCUUAACCAUAAACUAUGCCGACUAGGGAUCGGAUGAUGUUAAUUUUUUAAUGUACUCAUUCGGCGCCUUA
rnacentral:rRNA from 1 species